rnacentral:rRNA from 1 species
AAUGAACGCUAGCGGGAGGCCUAACACAUGCAAGCCGAGCGGUAUUGUUUCUUCGGAAAUGAGAGAGCGGCGUACGGGUGCGGAACACGUGUGCAACCUGCCUUUAUCUGGGGGAUAGCCUUUCGAAAGGAAGAUUAAUACUCCAUAACAUAUUGAUUGGCAUCAAUUAAUAUUGAAAGCUCCGGCGGAUAGAGAUGGGCACGCGCAAGAUUAGCUAGUUGUUGAGGUAACGGCUCACCAAGGAGAGGAUCUUUAGGGGGGCUGAGAGGGUGAUCCCCCACACUGGUACUGGGACACGGACCAGACUCCUACGGGAAGCAGCAGUGAGGAAUAUUGGUCAAUGGGUGCAAGCCUGGACCAGCCAUCCCGCGUGACGGACGACUGCCCUAUGGGUGGUAAACUUCUUUUGUAUAUGGAUAAACCUACCCUCGUGAGGGUAGCUGAAGGUACUAUACGAAUAAGCACCGGCUAACUCCGUGCCAGCCGCCGCGGUAAGAC